rnacentral:rRNA from 1 species
UAGGGAAUCUUCCGCAAUGGACGAAAGUCUGACGGAGCGACGCCGCGUGAGCGAAGAAGGUCUUCGGAUCGUAAAGCUCUGUUGUUAGGGAAGAAGAAGUGCCGUUCGAACAGGGCGGCGCGGUGACGGUACCUAACGAGAAAGCCCCGGCUAACUACGUGCCAGCAGCCGCGGUAAUACGUAGGUGGCAAGCGUUGUCCGGAAUUAUUGGGCGUAAAGCGCGCGCAGGCGGUUCCUUAAGUCUGAUGUGAAAUCUCGCGGCUCAACCGCGAGCGGCCAUUGGAAACUGGGGAACUUGAGUGCAGGAGAGGGGAGCGGAAUUCCACGUGUAGCGGUGAAAUGCGUAGAGAUGUGGAGGAACACCAGUGGCGAAGGCGGCUCUCUGGCCUGUAACUGACGCUGAGGCGCGAAAGCGUGGGGAGCGAACAGG